CUUUAAUUUCUCCUCAGCCCAAACAGCUUCCACUAAACAGUAUCAAAACAACUACAACAACCAACCCAACAAAAUCAGCCAACACUAGGCCCUAAUAAUAGAUUCCUACCCGGCCCAUUCUUCCCUUCUCUUAACAGCAAAACAAUGAUCGUAUCAACAAUGGCACCAGCAACAUAACAAUGCAUCAACAGCUGUACAGACCGAACAUCAACAAUGAACAAAUUAGUAACAGAAAUUUCAACAGCUACGAUCAGCCAGCAAUGGCUGUCAACAAAACAACCAUAACAAUAGCCUCGACAUCCACCAACGUCAAAACUAGCGGUUUCUAUUCUUUUUACACUUUUACCCCUCCGUACAGCCGAUAAAGGCUAGAGAAUCACCAACUUUUUCCUUUCUCAGAACUUGUUCAUCCAUUGUCAGCAAUGGUACAAUGGAUACAAUAAAUUCAAAUUUGAAAUUCAACAUUUGAAAUCGUAAAACCCUAAUUCUUUCCCAUAUAAAUAGAGGUUGGGGGUUAGAGGUGAAGGGGGGAUUUUUGGGGAAAAAUUGGGGCUUCUGGAGAUGCGUGUCUCUAACCUCAUGCAACUAAAAUUCUGGUGAAAUCAAGUAAAAUCCAGUGCUGGAAACUUUAUCGUUAUAGGCUUGUCGUCCCAUUCACUCUGGAAAAAGGUGAUUUCUAUUUUACUUCACGUGUUUUUGCUGCUUCAAGCUCCCUUACUUGUGCAUCAGGAAAGUCAUGUAAAAACUGACUAUCUGGAAGUGAUCACUGACUUUCCGUCACUAAAUUUGGUGUAACAACAUCGAAUUUAUUUGUAUUCGAAGGUGUUGACAUCCCAAAUAUUAGUGCGUCUAAAACAUCUUGAAUAGACUCCGAUAGUGUGGCAUUCACGUCAUCCUACAGAUUAAAGAUUGAUUGUUAUGUGUAAAAUCAAACAUAUUAAUAUUUAACGAUAGUGAUACCUAAACAGUAGCUACGUUAAUGUAGAUAGGUUUUUAGUUAAAAACAACAUAUGAGCUGUCAAAAAAAUACCUGCAAAUCUUUCACAUCAGUACUUUGAUGUUUGUUCAA